rnacentral:rRNA from 1 species
CCCUUAGAUGUUCUGGGCAGCACGCGCGCUACAAUGGUCUUCGCAAACGGAUGCAUUCUCGAAGGAGAAUGCCAAUCUUGGAAUCUAUGCCUUGGUCGGGACAGUUGCUUGCAAUUUUUCGACUCGAACCAGGAAUUCCUUGUAAUCGUGAUUCAUCACAUCACGAUGAAUACGUCCCUGCCCUUUGUACACACCGCCCGUCGCUCCUACCGAUCGAAGAGUUAGGUGAAUUGUUUUGAUCGAUAAGAUUUGACUAUGGUCAACUCUCGUUGUGAAAUUCUGUGAAUCUGACUUUUUAGAGGAAGGAAAAGUCGUAACA